CUCUUUCUUCUGAUCUUCGUUCUCAGCUCUCACCAAACUGGCUUAGAGACUUCACUAGGAAGAUGUGUCCUCCGCCAUCCCAGAAUUCUACAGUCCUUCCACCUGGCUGCCCACUGGGAGGACAGAUGACAGGAAAGGAAAGAGCUCUGCUGACGGUCGGAAGGUAACGUAGUACCAUCCUCUAUGAGGGAUAUAUUUAGGGACCCUCAACUGUAUCUAUUUUACCUUUUUAAAGGAUAAACUAAUGGUCUUACAUGUUGAAAUAGUACUCACAGAAAUUAAUUCCUUAUAACCUAUAACAUUCUUCAUUGUAUCUAUUAAAUAUGAUUGGUUUUGG
rnacentral:lncRNA from 1 species